rnacentral:lncRNA from 10 species
UUAUGCUCAGUUCAGCCUCAGAUUUAAGUGAUUUAUUGUUUUCUAGUUCUUCAGACCUAAUAGAGCUGCUGUGGUGGCUCUGUCAGUGGUUGGCAGUGGCCAUCAGCCCUCACCCUGCCAUUGGGGGCCUUGUGCGUUGGCAUCUGGUUGUUGCUAGCAGCCCUGAGGGGGAUGGGGCAGGCCACCGCCACCUCUCACUGGCUGCUGGGCUCAGGACUGGUCUGCUGUUAGGGAAGCUGCAAGUCCAGCCAGUUGACUGCACCUAUUUAAGAAAAAGCACUACUCUGUUACCUGAGAACCUUUGAGAUUCCUGUUGUGAAGGAACAAUCAUAUGGAAAUGAAAACUUAAGCUUUUAGCUAAUAACAGAAAAGUGAACUAGCUUUUGUCAGUUGUUCAAAAGUGUAAAAUUCUACUGAAAGAAGACAGCUCAAUAUUUCAAACGCUGGAGCUGUGUUAUUUGGUAACCAAGUAGAGACGGCGCCCGGCAGUAAUCUGCGGCUGCUCAGUGUGGCCCUUUCACUGAGGCCUUGGUCCACAGCACCAGCCCCGAGAGGGGUCCCAGCUGCCGACCUUCAGGCUUUCUUUUCUGUUUAUAAAGUGAGGGUAUUCUCAGAGAGCUUUGAGGAGAAAAUAGUGAAGCUUGAAGGUUGUUGGUGAAGCUGUGAAAUAUUGAACACUUCCUAAUCUUAGAUUAGGUUUUCUGCAUCUUAGAUGAGUCUUGAAUAGCUAUAACCAAAGGCUCUUGUUUAUUUAAACACUUUAAUUAUAGAGAGCUAAAGGCAGGAGGCACAGGGUUUGGGUGGGUGAGGGGCUUUGCAGAAUACAGCUGGUGCUCAUCAGCCCCUGCUAGGAAUUUAGGACUCACUGGUGUAGUUGCUAUAAAAGCUGCCACCUCCAGGAAGACAACUAUGGGUGUUUAAAGUGGUGGUGGUGUAGACAGCGACAUUUCCAGUGAGCUUUAGGCAGGAAUGCAGGGAGGGCCUUGGGAGCGAGGCAGCAGGCGGGCAGGUGUGGAUGGGUCCAUGCUCAGAGCCAUAUCAUCACCCCCAGGCAGCAUCCUGAAGCCCACUGAGAAUUUGGGCUGAGUGAUGUGCCCCGGAGUGGGAGGCAGCUGGCACCACACGUUUCUCUGGUAGCUUCUUCGGCUGUGGAAGUCUCCAGGUUAGGGGCUGAUCACCACCACUUCGUCCAUGACCCUCUGUCUCCUGUCUUUAGAGGUCAGCGGAACGGUUCCGUGGAGCCGCCCUCCCUUAAGCCCAGAUGCUCACACCGAGCUUCCUGAUUGUCCUUCUUGUCAUGGCUGUGUUCAAGAUGUUCUUUCUGUGGGGCGUCUCUUCCUUGCUGGGCUGACAGCCCUGGGACAGCGGGGACGCCACACCCUGGGGCACACCGCCUAGGGUCCCUUGUGUGGUGGGGGGCCAAGAGAGACUGCUAUGGAAGGUGAUGUUGACUGGGAUUACCAGUACAGGUCCUGACAACUGUAAGGUCACAAUUAGUAUCCAGCAUGCCUGUCUGCCAUGCAUCCCUUUGCCCAUCCUGAGCUGGCGAUGAUGCCACAUGUGAGGCCCUGUCCUGGACUCACCAUGUGGGUGUUUGCAGCUCUGCCUGAGAGACCUUGUUCCUCAUGCACAAUAGGAAGCAGCAGGCCUGUCUGUUAGGACUGCUGUGAGUCACUGCGAUGGCCCAGGAGCCUGCCACGUUCUGAGGUCAUCAGCACAGCACCCGUUGUUGUUACUGGGAGUUAACAUGCAGGGGGGACUCCCUCUAACGGCAGCAUGCUGAGUACUGGCAGCCUCACUGAUCCGGUCAUGUGGCCUCGGGAGCCGCACAGGCUUCAUGGGGGUUUUGUGGUUUUAAGGACUGUGAGGGUUGACUGAAUUAUAUGCACUCACUUGUCAUGUUUCUGGGCUUUUUGUGCCCUUUUCCCUGGUACUGCAGGAAAGGAAAAGACAAAGUACUGUCAAGAGCAAUUGCUGAGCAGAUUUGAUGUGAUGCAGUAGGAUGAGACAUGAUACUGGGAUCACCUCUUCCAGGUCACCGCAAGGGUUUAUACUGCUCCAUGCCUGCAGUGCUUCUGGCUCUGUUGCGGGAGCACCUGACCCCAGUAGCCACAGCCAAGAAGGUUUUACUUUUAAAUGGCAUCGGCAGGUGGGUAAGAGUUGAUGAUGCUGCUGGCAGGUGAGGGACCGGCUGUGGACUUCCAUCGCCGGUUCCACCUGCCCUCCUGGGCCAGGGUCUCUGAGAUCUUGGAUGUGGAUUUCAUCUCCUUGUUGUCAAUACCUGGUGCUUUUAUCUAUCAUCAGUACACUGUACUUUUACUUCUCUGCUAUGUUGACUCCUGAGAACAUGAGAUUUAACAAUGCAUUUAUUUUAUUAAAAGCCAGUUUUUCUUGGC